rnacentral:lncRNA from 1 species
GUGACACUAGGUUGCUAUGACAGCCAGGAAUUUGCGAACCAAACCAGACCUGGAGAAGAAGUCUCUCCUUGGCCCAAAGAGUUUGCAGUUCCAAGUGGUUCUGCUCAUGGUUCCUGUUGUCUUCUUUGACACCUGCCAGAUGGAAGAACCUCUAAACCUGGGAUUUGGAAAUGUCCCAACAGAAAGGCUAUUUCCAAGCUGGCUGAAGCUUGGAAAUAAAUUCGACGGAAUUUAGGUGUGAUAGAAGGAACUUCUUGGCAAGAAAAGCUGGAAAAUAUUACAAUAGGUCCCAGAGAGAACCUCAUUAUCUUCUCGAAAAAAUUUCUAUAUUUGUUUAGUGUUCUGUGGUUUGCUAAGC